rnacentral:lncRNA from 1 species
GACAGAUGAAUAGACAUCUGAAAACAUACUUCAUAAUAAUUGUUUAUUAGAAAAAUUCAAAUUGAAAACACAAUGAAAUACUAUUAUGCUCCUAUUAGGAUGGCAAAAAAAAAAGUUUUUGAACAAUAUUAAGUGUUAGCAAAGGUAAAGAACAGGUGGUAAUGUUAUAUAUUGUGGUAGUCACACCAAAAAAUAGUUUGCCAGUUUCUUAUGAAACUAGACCUGCAAUAACUGUUCAUCUCAGCAAACCUACUCCUGGGUAUUUUACCCAAGAGAAAUGAAACUUAAGUUCACACAAAAAUCUGUGCUGCUAUAUAACAAAAUAUCUGAGACUGACUGAUAUAUAAAGAACGAAAGAUAGUUUCUGACAGUUCUGGAAGCUGAUAAGUCCAAGAGGUUUGGUCUGGUGAGGACCCUGUCUGCUUCCAGGAUGGUGCCUCAUGCCUGCAUCCUUAAAGGGGGUGAAUGUUGUGUCUUCAUGUAGUAGGACUGCAUAAAGACCAAGCCCCAGGGAAGUCUUUUUUUAAGGACCUUAAUCCCAUUCAUGAGACCUCCUAAAGGCCCCACGUAUUAAUACUAUUACAUUGGUGAUUAAACUUCAACAUAUGAAUGUGGGAGGACACAUUCAGAUUAUAAUACAAUUUAAUUCAUAUUCACCCCAAACUGAAGAAAACACAAAUGAUUUUACCUGUUGAAUGGAUAAAUGCACUGUAAUUCAUUCACAUUAUGAAAUAUUACUCAACAAUGAGAAAGAACAAACUGUUGCCAGGUAUGGUGGUCAUGCCUAUAAUCCUAGUGAUUCAAGAGGCUGAGACAGGAGGAUGGUCAAGUUUGAGGCCAGCCUCAGCAGCUUAGUGAGACUGUCUCAAAACUAAUAAAAAAAAAAAAAAAGAAAGAAUUGAGGAUGCAAUUUAGUGGUAAAGUUUGUCUUUGGCACCAAGACAAACAAACAACAGCAACAAUAACAAAAAACAAAGAAAGAAAAGGAAACAAACUAUUAAUACAGUCAAUAAGAUGGAUGAACCUCAACUAUAUUAUAUUAAUCCAGGGAUCAGCAAACUUUGGUUUGCAGGCCAAAUCCUGCCAUCUCUAUUUAUUUAGGUAUUGUCUGUAGUCCUAGUGACUCAAGAGGCUGAGACAGGAGGAUAGUCAAGUUUGAGGCCAGCCUCAGCAGUUUAGUGAGACUCUAUUUCAAAAUAAAGUGGUAAAGACAAACAAACAACAGUUUUCAUGCUACAAUGGCAAAUUUAAGUAUUUGUAUCGGAGAUAAUAUGAUUCCCAAAGUUGAAAAUAUUUACUAUCUGGCCCUUUACAGAAAAAGCGUGCCAAUCCCUGUGAUAAGUGAAGGGAGUCAGAUACAGAAGCCUACAUAAUCUAUGGUUCCAUUUAUGUGACAUUCUGGAGAAGGUAAAACCCCUGGGAUAGAGAUCACUGGUUCCCAGGGGUCAGUUCGGGUAUAGGAAUUGACUACAGAUGGACAGCAUAAGAACAUUUUUUGGGUGUGAAGCAACUCUCCUGCAUCUUCAUUAUGGUGAUCCUCACACAUCUCCAUUCACUUUCCAAAGCUAAAAGAAAC